rnacentral:rRNA from 1 species
GAUGAACGCUGGCGGCGUGCCUAAUACAUGCAAGUCGAGCGAACGGACGAGAAGCUUGCUUCUCUGAUGUUAGCGGCGGACGGGUGAGUAACACGUGGAUAACCUACCUAUAAGACUGGGAUAACUUCGGGAAACCGGAGCUAAUACCGGAUAAUAUUUUGAACCGCAUGGUUCAAAAGUAAAAGGCGGUCUUGCUGUCACUUAUAGAUGGAUCCGCGCUGCAUUAGCUAGUUGGUAAGGUGACGGCUUACCAAGGCAACGAUGCAUAGCCGACCUGAGAGGGUGAUCGGCCACACUGGAACUGAGACACGGUCCAGACUCCUGCGGGAGGCAGCAGUAGGGAAUCUUCCGCAAUGGGCGAAAGCAUGACGGAGCAACGCCGCGUGAGUGAUGAAGGUCUUCGGAUCGUAAAACUCUGUUAUUAGGGAAGAACAUAUGUGUAAGUAACUGUGCACAUCUUGACGGUACCUAAUCAGAAAGCCACGGCUAACUACGUG